rnacentral:rRNA from 1 species
GAUGAACGCUGGCGGCGUGCCUAAUACAUGCAAGUCGAGCGAACGGAUGAGAAGCUUGCUUCUCUGAUGUUAGCGGCGGACGGGUGAGUAACACGUGGAUAACCUACCUAUAAGACUGGGAUAACUUCGGGAAACCGGAGCUAAUACCGGAUGAUAUUUUGAACCGCAUGGUUCAAAAGUGAAAGACGGUUUUGCUGUCACUUAUAGAUGGAUCCGCGCUGCAUUAGCUAGUUGGUAAGGUAACGGCUUACCAAGGCAACGAUGCAUAGCCGACCUGAGAGGGUGAUCGGCCACACUGGAACUGAGACACGGUCCAGACUCCUACGGGAGGCAGCAGUAGGGAAUCUUCCGCAAUGGGCGAAAGCCUGACGGAGCAACGCCGCGUGAGUGAUGAAGGUCUUCGGAUCGUAAAACUCUGUUAUUAGGGAAGAACAUAUGUGUAAGUAACUGUGCACAUCUUGACGGUACCUAAUCAGAAAGCCACGGCUAACUACGUG